UACGUAGGGGGCAAGCGUUGUCCGGAUUUAUUGGGCGUAAAGAGCUCGUAGGUGGUUCGGGAAGUCGGAUGUGAAAUCUCCAGGCUCAACCUGGAGGGGUCAUUCGAUACUGCCGUGACUAGAGGUCGGUAGGGGAGUGUGGAAUUCCUGGUGGAGCGGUGAAAUGCGCAGAUAUCAGGAGGAACACCCGUAGCGAAGGCGGCACUCUGGGCCGAUACUGACACUGAGGAGCGAAAGCGUGGGGAGCGAACAGG
rnacentral:rRNA from 1 species